UCCUCUUAUAAUCCUUCACCAUGGGCACAUUUCCAGAGAGAGUGUUGAGUACACACAGCAGACAAUGGAAUCUGCCAUGGAGAAAGUCAAAACCAUGAAUGCCAACUUUGGAGAAACUGAAAUUUUCGCACCCCUUCGAGACAUUUUUAGAAAAGCCUGCAAACCAGGAUACCUAAGACAGCUGUUUGUGUUCACUGAUGGUGAAGUUGGAAACAUAAAGCAAGUCAUUGAUGAAGUGAA